rnacentral:rRNA from 1 species
AGACGGGGGGGGCGAGCGUUGUUCGGAAUUACUGGGCGUAAAGCGCACGUAGGUGGAUUCGUCGGUUGAGGGUGAAAUCCCAGGGCUCAACCCUGGAACUGCCUUCAAUACUGCGAAUCUUGAGUCCGAGAGAGGUGAGUGGAAUUCCUAGUGUAGAGGUGAAAUUCGUAGAUAUUAGGAAGAACACCAGUGGCGAAGGCGGCUCACUGGCUCGGUACUGACGCUGAGGUGCGAAAGCGUGGGGAGCAAACAGGAUUAGAAACCCCAGUAGUCC